CAGCCGCCACGGUAACACGAAGGGGGCUAGCGUUGUUCGGAAUUACUGGGCGUAAAGCGCACGUAGGCGGAUAUUUAAGUCAGGGGUGAAAUCCCGCAGCUCAACUGCGGAACUGCCUUUGAUACUGGGUAUCUUGAGUAUGGAAGAGGUUAGUGGAAUUGCGAGUGUAGAGGUGAAAUUCGUAGAUAUUCGCAGGAACACCAGUGGCGAAGGCGGCUAACUGGUCCAUAACUGACGCUGAGGUGCGAAAGCGUGGGGAGCAAACAGGAUUAGAUACCCCAGUAGUCCCUGUCUCUUAUAA
rnacentral:rRNA from 1 species